rnacentral:rRNA from 1 species
AUUGAACGCUGGCGGCAGGCCUAACACAUGCAAGUCGAGCGAGCGGCCGACGGGUGAGUAAUGUCCGGGAAACUGCCUGAUGGAGGGGGAUAACUACUGGAAACGGUAGCUAAUACCGCAUACCAUCAGAUGUGCCCAGAUGGGUUUAGCUAGUAGGUGGGGUAACGGCUCACCUAGGCGACGAUCCCUAGCUGGUCUGAGAGGAUGACCCGCGACACUGGAACGGGAACACGGUCCAGACUCUUACGGGAGGCAGAAGUGGGGAAUAUUGCACAAUGGGCGCAGGCCUGAGGCGGCCAUGCCGCGUGUGUGAAGAAGGCAUUCGGGUUGUAAGGCACUUUCAGCGGGGAGGCGUUACCCGCAGAAGAAGCAACGGCUAACUCCGUGCCAGCAGCCGCGGUAAUAC